GUAAGGAAUAUUGGACAAUGGACGCAAGUCUGAUCCAGCCAUGCCGCGUGAAGGAUUAAGGUCCUCUGGAUUGUAAACUUCUUUUAUAAGGGACGAAAAAAGGCUUUUCUAAGUCGUCUGACGGUACCUUAUGAAUAAGCACCGGCUAACUCCGUGCCAGCAGCCGCGGUAAUACGGAGGGUGCAAGCGUUAUCCGGAUUCACUGGGUUUAAAGGGUGCGUAGGCGGGCAGGUAAGUCAGUGGUGAAAUCCUAGAGCUUAACUCUAGAACUGCCAUUGAUACUAUCUGUCUUGAAUAUUGUGGAGGUAAGCGGAAUAUGUCAUGUAGCGGUAAAAUGCUUAGAUAUGACAUAGAACACCUAUUGCGAAGGCAGCUUACUACGCAUAUAUUGACGCUGAGGCACGAAAGCGUGGGGAUCAAACAGGAUUAGAUACCCGGGUAGUCC
rnacentral:rRNA from 1 species